CGAAACAAUUGAAAUGUGCCCGUCGGUCGCCAAAUUGGCCUCCUCUUUCUUCUUCUUUUUAGUUAUUUUGGCCUCCUGCUUCUUCUUCUUUUUAGUUAUUAAAAAUUAGGAAGUAA
rnacentral:ribozyme from 13 species